rnacentral:rRNA from 1 species
UACGUAGGUGACAAGCGUUGUCCGGAUUCAUUGGGCGUAAAGCGCGUGUAGGCGGUCCGGUAAGUCCGCUGUGAAAGUCGAGGGCUCAACCCUCGAAUGCCGGUGGAUACUGUCGGGCUUGAGUACGGGAGAGGCGAGUGGAAUUCCUGGUGUAGCGGUGGAAUGCGUAGAGAUCGGGAAGAACAUCAGUGGCGAAGGCGGCCUGCUGGGCUGUUGCUGACGCUGAGGCGCGACAGCGUGGGGAGCAAACAGG